rnacentral:rRNA from 1 species
AGUUGGUCAGGUAACGGCUGACCAAGGCGACGAUGUCUAGGGGUUCUGAGAGGAAGGUCCCCCACACUGGAACUGAGACACGGUCCAGACUCCUACGGGAGGCAGCAGUGAGGAAUAUUGGACAAUGGUCGGAAGACUGAUCCAGCCAUGCCGCGUGAAGGUUACGGUCCUAUGGAUUUUAAACUUCUUUUAUGCGGGAGCAAUAAGGUGCACGUGUGCAUCGAUGAGAGUACCUCAUGAAUAAGCAUCGGCUAACUCCGUGCCAGCAGCCGCGGUAAUACGGAGGAUGCAAGCGUUAUCCGGAUUUAUUGGGUUUAAAGGGUGCGUAGGCGGAAUUAUAAGUCAGCGGUGAAAUUCACAGGCUCAACCUGUGCCGUGCCGUUGAAACUGUAACUCUAGAAUACGGAUGCUGUGGGAGGAAUGUGUAGUGUAGCGGUGAAAUGCAUAGAUAUUACACAGAACACCGAUUGCGAAGGCAUCUCACAAAGUCGUCAUUGACGCUGAGGCACGAAAGUGUGGGGAUCAAACAGGAUUAGAUACCCUGGUAGUCCACUACUGUAAACGAUGAUAACUCGCUGCCGGCGACACACUGUC